rnacentral:misc_RNA from 1 species
UCGUAACAAGGUCUCCGUUGGUGAACCAGCGGAGGGAUCAUUACCGAGUUUACAACUCCCAAACCCAAUGUGAACCAUACCAAACUGUUGCCUCGGCGGGGUCACGCCCCGGGUGCGUCGCAGCCCCGGAACCAGGCGCCCGCCGGAGGGACCAACCAAACUCUUUCUGUAGUCCCCUCGCGGACGUUAUUUCUUACAGCUCUGAGCAAAAAUUCAAAAUGAAUCAAAACUUUCAACAACGGAUCUCUUGGUUCUGGCAUCGAUGAAGAACGCAGCGAAAUGCGAUAAGUAAUGUGAAUUGCAGAAUUCAGUGAAUCAUCGAAUCUUUGAACGCACAUUGCGCCCGCCAGUAUUCUGGCGGGCAUGCCUGUCCGAGCGUCAUUUCAACCCUCGAACCCCUCCGGGGGUCCGGCGUUGGGGAUCGGGAACCCCUAAGACGGGAUCCCGGCCCCGAAAUACAGUGGCGGUCUCGCCGCAGCCUCUCAUGCGCAGUAGUUUGCACAACUCGCACCGGGAGCGCGGCGCGUCCACGUCCGUAAAACACCCAACUUCUGAAAUGUUGACCUCGGAUCAGGUAGGAAUACCCGCUGAACUUAAGCAUAUCAAUAAGCGGAGGA